AUUGAACGCUGGCGGCAUGCUUUACACAUGCAAGUCGAACGGCAGCGCGGGGCAACCUGGCGGCGAGUGGCGAACGGGUGAGUAAUACAUCGGAACGUACCCAGAAGUGGGGGAUAACGUAGCGAAAUUUACGCUAAUACCGCAUACGUUCUACGGAAGAAAGUGGGGGACCUUCGGGCCUCAUGCUUUUGGAGCGGCCGAUGUCUGAUGAGCGAGUUGGUAGGGUUAAGGCCUACCAAGGCGACGAUCAGUAGCUGGUCUGAGAGGACGACCAGCCACGCUGGGACUGAGACACGGCCCAGACUCCUACGGGAGGAAGCAGUGGGGAAUUUUGGACAAUGGGCGCAAGCCUGAUCCAGCAAUGCCGCGUGAGUGAAGAAGGCCUUCGGGUUGUAAAGCUCUUUUGUCAGGGAAGAAACGGCUGAGGAUAAUACCUUCGGCUAAUGACGGUACCUGAAGAAUAAGCACCGGCUAACUACGUGCCAGCCGCCGCCGUAACAC
rnacentral:rRNA from 1 species